rnacentral:rRNA from 1 species
AUUGAACGCUGGCGGCAGGCCUAACACAUGCAAGUCGAACGAGUGGCGGACGGGUGAGUAAUGUCUGGGAAACUGCCCGAUGGAGGGGGAUAACUACUGGAAACGGUAGCUAAUACCGCAUACCAUCGGAUGUGCCCAGAUGGGAUUAGCUAGUAGGUGGGGUAACGGCUCACCUAGGCGACGAUCCCUAGCUGGUCUGAGAGGAUGACCAGCCACACUGGACCUGAAACACGGUCCAGACUCUUACGGUAGGCCGCAGUGGGGAAUUUUGCACAAUGGGGGCCAGCCUGAUCCUGCCAUGCCGCGGGUAUGAAGAAGGCCUUCGGAUUGUAAAGUUCUUUCAGCGAGAGUGCGUAACUCGCAGAAGAAGCACCGGCUACCUCCGGGCCAGCCGCCGCGGUAAUAC